UAUGCUUUUCUCACCAAAUUCCUGAAAUUGAAUCAUUAAAAAUUGUUGUUGGGACUAUUUUGCAUGUCUUUGAAAAUCAUGAAUGGUGGUUAGCGACUUGUUUAUGUGGUUCAGCUGUUUCAGUUGUGAAUGGUGCAGCCUAUUGUGUAAUGUGCCAAAUUGAAUGUGUUGACACUAUACCAAAGUACUCAUUGAAGGUAAUGGUUUCUUAUAGAACUAGAAAUAAUAUCUUUGUCCUUAGAGAUUCUUUAGUUGCACGAAUUUUGAUGAAAAAAUGUGCUGCUCUAUUGGAAGAAAACCCAAUUUCAGGAUAGACUUUGGAUAAGAAGAUUGUUCCAUAGGAUAUUAUUUCUCAUUUGAUUGAAAAAAAGUUUGCAUUCAUCAUUGAUCCCAGAGUUGUUGGAUAUGAGCUGAGUACAGGUGUUUAUAUUGUAAGAGUAUUCACAGAUGAAAGUUCUAUUGUUAAUCUUUUGGAAAGUGUUACUCUGGUAAAUGAUUAAAAGGUCCUUAGAGUUUUUUUAUUAA